rnacentral:rRNA from 1 species
AUUAUUGGGGCGUAAAGGGCUCGCAGGCGGUUUCUUAAGUCUGAUGUGAAAGCCCCCGGCUCAACCGGGGAGGGUCAUUGGAAACUGGGAAACUUGAGUGCAGAAGAGGAGAGUGGAAUUCCACGUGUAGCGGUGAAAUGCGUAGAGAUGUGGAGGAACACCAGUGGCGAAGGCGACUCUCUGGUCUGUAACUGACGCUGAGGAGCGAAAGCGUGGGGAGCGAACAGGAUUAGAUACCCUGGUAGUCCACGCCGUAAACGAUGAGUGCUAAGUGUUAGGGGGUUUCCGCCCCUUAGUGCUGCAGCUAACGCAUUAAGCACUCCGCCUGGGGAGUACGGUCGCAAGACUGAAACUCAAAGGAAUUGACGGGGGCCCGCACAAGCGGUGGAGCAUGUGGUUUAAUUCGAAGCAACGCGAAGAACCUUACCAGGUCUUGACAUCCUCUGACAACCCUAGAGAUAGGGCUUUCCCUUCGGGGACAGAGUGACAGGUGGUGCAUGGUUGUCGUCAGCUCGUGUCGUGAGAUGUUGGGUUAAGUCCCGCAACGAGCGCAACCCUUGAUCUUAGUUGCCAGCAUUUAGUUGGGCACUCUAAGGUGACUGCCGGUGACAAACCGGAGGAAAGGUGGGGAUGACGUCAAAUCAUC